UUUGGAUGCCUCAGGAUAAAAUGACAGCGAACGAUGUGGAGCUUUUCAUUCCAUCGUAUCAUCGGGACUCGUAGCCGCCAAUAUUCGUGAUCGGAAUAUAGCCACAAAACAGCGGGGAACCCAUAGAAGAAACAGACAGGCGAAAUCAAGAUAGAAGACAUCUGUGUAUGCGGUUUGGAAUCUGUCCAAACUUAAGUGGGAAUAUAUCUUGUUGAACAGAACCCCCAUAGG